rnacentral:misc_RNA from 1 species
AAUUCUCAACUGCUUUGGCUUAGUUUCAAAGUGAAGUUGGACUUGGAGUGCUUGCUGGGCUGUGUCCGGCUCCUCCCAAUAGCAUUAUUUUAUAUAUCCAUCUUGGUAUAUAUCUCGGCAAGAAGUAUCUUCGACGUGAUAACAUUUUAUGUUGUAGAGAAAGCCUUGAUAGUGGAGAGAGGCCUUCCCUCUUUCCUUGCCCAUGAUGUCU